rnacentral:tRNA from 1 species
GCCGGAGUGGUGGAACAUGGUAGACACGCUAUCUUGAGGGGGUAGUGGGGAAACCCGUCCCGGUUCAAGUCCGGGCUUCGGCACCA